rnacentral:rRNA from 1 species
UACGUAGGUGGCAAGCGUUGUCCGGAUUUAUUGGGUUUAAAGGGUGCGUAGGCGGUCUUUUAAGUCAGUGCUGAAAUACUCCAGCUUAACUGGAGGGGUGGCAUUGAUACUGGAAGACUCGAGUGCAGUCGAAGUAGGCGGAAUUGACGGUGUAGCGGUGAAAUGCUUAGAUAUCGUCAAGAACACCGAUAGUGAAGACAGCUUACUAGGCUGCAACUGACGCUGAGGCACGAAAGUGUGGGGAUCAAACAGG